UGCCUCAGUACGGCGAGUGAGCGGCAAAAGCUCAAAUUUGAAAUCUAGCACCUUCGGUGUUCGAGUUGUAAUUUGAAGAUGGUAACCUUGGGUUUGGCUCUUGUCUAUGUUCCUUGGAACAGGACGUCAUAGAGGGUGAGAAUCCCGUCUGAUGAGAUGCCCAUUCCUAUGUAAGGUGCUAUCGAAGAGUCGAGUUGUUUGGGAAUGCAGCUCUAAGUGGGUGGUAAAUUCCAUCUAAAGCUAAAUAUUGGCGAGAGACCGAUAGCGAACAAGUACAGUGAUGGAAAGAUGAAAAGAACUUUGAAAAGAGAGUGAAAAAGUACGUGAAAUUGUUGAAAGGGAAGGGCAUUAGAUCAGACUUGGUGUUUUACGAUUAUCUUCUCUUCUUGAGUUGUGCACUCGUAUUUCACUGGGCCAGCAUCGAUUCGGAUGGCAAGAUAAUGGCAGUUGAAUGUGGCUUCACUUCGGUGGAGUGUUAUAGCUUCUGCUGAUAUUGCCUGUCUGGAUCGAGGGCUGCGUCUUUUGACUAGGAUGCUGGCGUAAUGAUCUAAAGCCGCCCGACUUGAAACACG
rnacentral:rRNA from 1 species